rnacentral:snRNA from 2 species
AGCCAUCCGUUGAGCACAUAGCGAACUAUUCUUUCGCCUUUUACUAAAGAAUACCGUGUGCUCGUUGCGUUAAGUGGCAUAUGCCUAUUUUUGAAGGGGUUGUACCUCCAUGGGUGCC